rnacentral:rRNA from 1 species
CAAACUCCGAAUGCCAAUUAAUUUAACUUGGGAGUCAGAACAUGGGUGAUAAGGUCCGUGUUCGAAAGGGAAACAGCCCAGACCACCAGCUAAGGUCCCAAAAUAUAUGUUAAGUGGAAAAGGAUGUGGCGUUGCCCAGACAACUAGGAUGUUGGCUUAGAAGCAGCCAUCAUUUAAAGAGUGCGUAAUAGCUCACUAGUCGAGUGACACUGCGCCGAAAAUGUACCGGGGCUAAACAUAUUACCGAAGCUGUGGAUUGUCCUUUGGACAAUGGUAGGAGAGCGUUCUAAGGGCGUUGAAGCAUGAUCGUAAGGACAUGUGGAGCGCUUAGAAGUGAGAAUGCCGGUGUGAGUAGCGAAAGACGGGUGAGAAUCCCGUCCACCGAUUGACUAAGGUUUCCAGAGGAAGGCUCGUCCGCUCUGGGUUAGUCGGGUCCUAAGCUGAGGCCGACAGGCGUAGGCGAUGGAUAACAGGUUGAUAUUCCUGUACCACCUAUAAUCGUUUUAAUCGAUGGGGGGACGCAGUAGGAUAGGCGAAGCGUGCGAUUGGAUUGCACGUCUAAGCAGUAAGGCUGAGUAUUAGGCAAAUCCGGUACUCAUUAAGGCUGAGCUGUGAUGGGGAGAAGACAUUGUGUCUUCGAGUCGUUGAUUUCACACUGCCGAGAAAAGCCUCUAGAUAGAAAAUAGGUGCCCGUACCGCAAACCGACACAGGUAGUCAAGAUGAGAAUUCUAAGGUGAGCGAGCGAACUCUCGUUAAGGAACUCGGCAAAAUGACCCCGUAACUUCGGGAGAAGGGGUGCUCUUUAGGGUUAACGCCCAGAAGAGCCGCAGUGAAUAGGCCCAAGCGACUGUUUAUCAAAAACACAGGUCUCUGCUAAACCGUAAGGUGAUGUAUAGGGGCUGACGCCUGCCCGGUGCUGGAAGGUUAAGAGGAGUGGUUAGCUUCUGCGAAGCUACGAAUCGAAGCCCCAGUAAACGGCGGCCGUAACUAUAACGGUCCUAAGGUAGCGAAAUUCCUUGUCGGGUAAGUUCCGACCCGCACGAAAGGCGUAACGAUUUGGGCACUGUCUCAACGAGAGACUCGGUGAAAUCAUAGUACCUGUGAAGAUGCAGGUUACCCGCGACAGGACGGAAAGACCCCGUGGAGCUUUACUGUAGCCUGAUAUUGAAAUUCGGCACAGCUUGUACAGGAUAGGUAGGAGCCUUUGAAACGUGAGCGCUAGCUUACGUGGAGGCGCUGGUGGGAUACUACCCUAGCUGUGUUGGCUUUCUAACCCGCACCACUUAUCGUGGUGGGAGACAGUGUCAGGCGGGCAGUUUGACUGGGGCGGUCGCCUCCUAAAAGGUAACGGAGGCGCUCAAAGGUUCCCUCAGAAUGGUUGGAAAUCAUUCAUAGAGUGUAAAGGCAUAAGGGAGCUUGACUGCGAGACCUACAAGUCGAGCAGGGUCGAAAGACGGACUUAGUGAUCCGGUGGUUCCGCAUGGAAGGGCCAUCGCUCAACGGAUAAAAGCUACCCCGGGGAUAACAGGCUUAUCUCCCCCAAGAGUUCACAUCGACGGGGAGGUUUGGCACCUCGAUGUCGGCUCAUCGCAUCCUGGGGCUGUAGUCGGUCCCAAGGGUUGGGCUGUUCGCCCAUUAAAGCGGUACGCGAGCUGGGUUCAGAACGUCGUGAGACAGUUCGGUCCCUAUCCGUCGUGGGCGUAGGAAAUUUGAGAGGAGCUGUCCUUAGUACGAGAGGACCGGGAUGGACAUACCUCUGGUGUACCAGUUGUCGUGCCAACGGCAUAGCUGGGUAGCUAUGUGUGGACGGGAUAAGUGCUGAAAGCAUCUAAGCAUGAAGCCCCCCUCAAGAUGAGAUUUCCCAACUUCGGUUAUAAGAUCCCUCAAAGAUGAUGAGGUUAAUAGGUUCGAGGUGGAAGCAUGGUGACAUGUGGAGCUGACGAAUACUAA